UGUGAAUGAUGCGGGAGCUAA
rnacentral:miRNA from 1 species